UGGGGAAUAUUGCACAAUGGGCGCAAGCCUGAUGCAGCCAUGCCGCGUGUGUGAAGAAGGCCUUCGGUUGUAAAGCACUUUCAGCGAGGAGGAAGGUGGUGAGCUUAAUACGCUCAUCAAUUGACGUUACUCGCAGAAGAAGCACCGGCUAACUCCGUGCCAGCAGCCGCGGUAAUACGGAGGGUGCAAGCGUUAAUCGGAAUUACUGGGCGUAAAGCGCACGCAGGCGGUUUGUUAAGUCAGAUGUGAAAUCCCCGGGCUCAACCUGGGAACUGCAUUUGAAACUGGCAAGCUAGAGUCUCGUAGAGGGGGGUAGAAUUCCAGGUGUAGCGGUGAAAUGCGUAGAGAUCUGGAGGAAUACCGGUGGCGAAGGCGGCCCCCUGGACGAAGACUGACGCUCAGGUGCGAAAGCGUGGGGAGCAAACAGAUUAGAUACCCUGGUAGUCCACGCUGUAAACGAUGUCGAUUUUGGAGGUUGUGCCCUNAGGCGUGGNUUCCGAGCUAACGNGUUAAAUCGACCGCC
rnacentral:rRNA from 1 species